ACCUCGCCCGGAGAACGUCACUCUCCAAGGAAAAGUGUUCAAGUGCAGUUCACAGUGUAGCCGAAUAGAAAACCAGUUUAAACUAGUACAUAGAAAAUUUUCACUCUUGCAAACGCAAGCAGUAAUUGUAUCCAAACAUGGAAAAGUGUAAAAAUCGUGACGCAGACGAGCAGCAGCAGUACGAGUUUUGCAAAAUGACGCCAGGGCCCACGUAGUGUUUGUCCACGUCGGGCAUUAUUUGCUCUCGAGUUGGAAACAAAGAAACCAGACCCAGACCCACUGGAAAGAUGUGAUUAGUCAUCGAUUUUGCUGGUCAGCGUCGAUGAAUUUCGCAAUGCGGCAGGCAGUUUUCUCGAUUUUGGCUAGAAAGUGACCCCCUAGGCAGUCUAAAGGCAGAUAUCCAGGAUAUGCGGGACUCCAGUCUCUGAGUCGAAUGGCGAAGGCCCCAACCUGCGGAUUUUAUAAAUUGGGAUAGGAAGCCAGGUAUACACACACAGCGGCGAAACCAGCGUGUUCUAUAAUUCUAUUCGUAAGCCCAACCUAAGCUUAAGUCGUAGUUUGUAACCCCACAUCGAAGACCUCCAGCGAAAAGCGUUUUCAAACGUCGCUUGAGAGUCCUUUUCUGCAGACAUUGCAAUUUCAUCGUGUUGCGUAAGCGGAAAUACAUGUUUCCCUAGUAUUUCACAUUUUUAUGUACCCAGUCGAAAGUUCUCGAUUCUCGUUUGCAACCCCCGGAUCGAAAGGCCACCAACUGGCUCACUCUCUAAAAAUAGCGUACUCAUACGCCCCGUUCACGUCUCUACCUCUCGGGUAUACAUACACAUUUCGAUGUAUUCAGAGCCCCAUACAUAUGGAUGUAUUGUAAUUGGACGGCGACGGCAGCUGCGCAAAAACCGCUGUGGCGUAAAUAACAUCGUGCUCUUUGUUCGCCUUUCCCUACGUUUAUAUACUGUAUACGAUAACGAUCCAUAGUUAUUUUUUAGCGGAAAACUUUCCAGCCUUACUUUGUCUCAUCACGUUUCUGUCGCUUCUUUUGGAACUCUAAACUAGCUCGUAGUCGUUUUAACAUUUACCUAGCUGUUAAUCUUAUUUGUAACCAUCUCUAUAUGCAACUCUGCCAUACCACUUAACCAAGCAAUAUGUAUUUCUUUCUCUAAACUUUAUAGUUGGGCGUUGAAAGUUGAUAUCGAUCCGUGAAAAAGUCGAUACCCUGCGUGAGCAUAGGUCGGCAUAUGGGUGCUGAAAAUGCGCCCGGCCCGAUUGCAGCGUUUUUCGAAAGCUGGCUCUGCGACCGUGACUCGAGAUUACGUAUAUACUUAUGUACAUAUCUAAUGUCUGGGUUCGCGGACCAGCCAGGGUGCUCGAUUCUGUGUGAUUGAUUGUGCGGAUUGUGUUAUAGGAACACUGGUGUAUCGACUUCUCUGCUCCACUAAGGGUGAACGGGAGCCCUACCAAAAGGCCUUCUGUUGCUAACUAUCAUCGAACAAGUUCCGUAGCGGGCAGACAUACGUGGCAGCAUAUUGAAUCCGUAUCCGUUCAAUGACACAUCGUCUCUGGAUUAGUAAUUGAACCAACGAGGUCGAAUCGAAUAACCUGCCAGUUGGUCGUAAACAUUAACUUUGUUCUUAUAUUCAGUUGUAAAGUCAAUACGGAAGAUAUAUUUCCACACCAACAAUGUGUCACUUAUGUUCUUAAAUACCUGAAACUGUUUAAAUUUUUUGUUUUUGUACACUUCACCAAUUAAGAAUUACCUGUACUGAUGUAAAUUAACUUGUCGAAUCACUACAAAAAUAGAAAAAAUGAAUAUCAAAAGAGCUCCUUAAUGGAAAAGCCACAGAAAAAGUGAAUAAUAAAUUCAAAAGUUCCAAAAAUAAAUCUCGAAACAUUUGCUCGUCAUAUUUUUUAUUUCAAGCUUAGAUGCGAUUUCAGUUAUACCAUCGAUCUUAAACGUAGCGUUCCCAGAAUAGUCCCACGGAGGAAGGGCAUUUAUAUCAACACGCCAAUAGUCUUCGUCUCACACACAAAUUACUCUGAUGUUCUUAAACUAAAUCGAAAAGUCGGACCAAGUGUCUACAUAAAAAGGAAGGGCCCGUGAUCUUUGUUAAGCUCAAAAAGUUUGUAUUGGAAAGAGUACGCGAAGGCUUAAAAGAUCAGCAAAAGUACGUAUGUUCUGAAUUUACAUUUCUCCACAUUUUUAGGACAUCAAUGCAAGACGUUUUCUAAGAAAAAUCAACGACAUAUAAACACUCUAUUUCGCUGCGGCAUUUUCUUUUACUGUUAAAUGCAUUAAUACAAAUUAAUAUAAGGAAAUAAUAUUUUUAAAACUAAAUAAAUCAAAUUCAAUAAAACAUAAGUCCCAACUAAUAUCUUAGUUAAAAAUAAUUCACCCCUGGAUUAAGAAAUUUAUUCUUGUAGCCAAUAUGAUACUUUUGUUAAACUUCAUACAAAUAUUUACAGUUACAGAAAUAAGUUAACUACUCGUCUAUCUAUAAAUGGUUCGGGUCAAAAUAUUUUAAAACUUUGCUUUAGUUUGAAAACGACCAAAUGUUGUAGGGGGUACACCUUUUUCAAAACUAUGUUUUAUUUGAUUUGAUACUCGAAAGACUGCAAAAUCAAACACAAUCUGGCAAGAAAUUGUUUAACAUUAUGCACCUAUAACAAGGGUUAAUAAAUACAAAAUAUUAUUAAUGAACAUUACAUGUCAUAAUGAUAUGAUAAAAGUAUAAUUUAUCUGAAAUGGUAGGGCCUGUUAUAAACCGUCCGGCACUUUUGUGUCGUAUUCUAGAAUUGACAAAAACCUAAAAACUUGCAUACAAAUAGGUAGGAUUCUUAAUCAAACCGGUAUACCCUCCCAAAAUGUUUGUGGUAUUAAAAAAAUCAAAAAAAACCGAAAUCUCGUGUACUAAUAGGUAGGAUCAUUAUCAAUUACUCAAAAUAUUAUUUGUCGUAUCGACUCCCUUCUUAUGGUAAAAAGUGUGCAACGAAAUUAAAUCCAAACACGUGUUAAAAGGGGUAGCAACUUAAUAGGUAGGACUUUUCAACCAUCCAAUAUUUAUAUGUGGCAUUCUUAAAUUAACAACAACCAUAAAACUCGUAUAAAAAUAGGUAGGGUUCUUGAUCAAUACGGUAUUCCCUCCAAAAUUGUUUGUGGUAAUUCAAAAUCAACAUAAACCCGAAAACUCGUGUACUAGUAGGUAGGAUCUUUAUAAAUUACUCCAAAUAUUAUUUGUCGUAUCGACUCCCUAAAACUCCCUAAAAAGUGUGCAACGAAAUCAAAUCCAAAUACGUGUUAAAACCAAAAUUCAAAUAGGUAGGGUGCGUUAUAAAAGUGUUCCCAAUUACAAUGGUCUAUUUGUGAAGAGUAUAAGGAAUAGCAACUUAAUAGGUAGGACUUUUCAACCAUCCAAUAUUUAUAUGAGGUAUUCUUAAAUUAACAACAACCAUAAAACUCGUAUAAAAAUAGGUAGGGUUCUUGAUCAAUACGGUACUCGUGUACUAGUAGGUAUGAUCUUUAUAAAUUACUCCAAAUAUUAUUUGUCGUAUCGACUCCCUUCUUAAGGUAAAAAGUGUGCAAUGAAAUCAAAUCCAAUUACGUGUUAAAACCAAAAUUGAAAUAGGUAGGGUGCGUUAUAAAAGUGUUCCCAAUUACAAUGGUGUAUUUAUAAAGAGUAUAAGGGGUAGCAACUUAAUAGGCAGGACUUUUCAACCAUCCGGUAUUUAUGUGUGGUAUCUAAAAUUAACAGCAACCAUAAAACUCGUAUAAAAAUAGGUAGGGUUCUUGAUCAAUACCGUAUUCCCCCAAAAUAGUUUGUGGUAUUCCAAAAUCAACAUAAACCCGAAAACUCGUGUACUAGUAGGUAGGAUCUUUAUAAAUUACUCCAAAUAUUACUUGUUGUAUCGACUCCCUUCUUAUGGUAUAAAGGGUGCAACGAAAUAUAAUCCAAAUACUUAAAACCAAAAUUAAAAUAGGUAGGGUGCGUUAUAAAAGUGUUCCCAAUUACAAUGGUGUAUUUGUGAAGAGUAUAAGGGGUAGCAACUUAAUAGGUAGGAACUUUUAACCAUCCAAUAUUUAUAUGUGGUAUUCUAAAAAUAACAACAACUAUAAAACUCGUAUAAAAAUAGGUAGGGUUCUUGAUCAAUACGGUAUUUUCUCCCAAAAUUGUUUGUGGUAUUCCAAAUUCAACAAAAACCCGAAAACUCGUGUACUAGUAGGUAGGAUCUUUAUAAAUUUCUCCAAAUAUUAUUUAAAGUAAAUGUGUGCAAUGAAAUCAAGUCCAAAUACGUGUUAAAACCAAAAUUCAAAUAGCUAGGGUGCGUUAUAAAAGUGUUCCCAAUUACAAUGGUGUAUUUAUGAAGAGUAUAAGGGGUAGAAACUUAAUAGGCAGAACUUUUCAACCAUCCGGUAUUUAUGUGUGGUAUUCUAAAAUUAACAACAAUCAUAAAACUCGUAUAAAAAUAGGUAGCAUUCUUGAUCAAUACGGUAUUCCCUCCAAAAUUGUUUGUGGUAUUCCAAAAUCAACAAAAACCCUAAAACUCGUGUACUAAUAGGUAGGAUCAUUAUAAUUUAGCCCAAAUAUUAUUUGUCGUAUCGACUCCCUUCUUAAGGUAAAAAGUGUGAACGAAAUCUCAAAUCCAAAUACCUGUUGAAACCAAAAUUCAAAUAGGUAGGGUGCGUCAUAAAAGUGUUCCCAAUUACAAUGGUGUAUUCAUAAAAAGUAUAAGGGGUAGCAACUUAAUAGGUAGGACUUUUCAACCAUCUGGUAUUUGUGUGUGGUAUUCUAAAAUUAACAACAACCAUAAAACUCAAAUAAAAAUACAUAGGGUUCUUGAUCAAUACGGUACUCGUGUACUAGUAGGUAUGAUCUUUAUAAAUUACUCCAAAUAUUAUUUGUCGUAUCGACUCCCUUCUUAAGGUAAAAAGUGGGCAACGAAAUCUCAAAUCCAAAUACGUGUUAAAACCAAAAUCCAAAUCGGUAGGGUGCGUUAAAAAAGUAACCAAUUACUGUGGUGUAUUCAUAAAGAGUAUAAGGGGUAGCAACUCAAUAGGCAGGACUUUUCAACCAUCUGGUAUUUGUGUGUGGUAUUCUAAAAUUAACUACAACCAUAAAACUCGUAUAAAAAUAGGUAGGGUUCUUAAUCAAUACGGUAUUCCCUCGAAAAUUGUUUGUGGCAUUCCAAAUCAACAAAAACCCGGAAACUCGUGUACUAGUAGGUAGCACCUUUAUAAAUUACUCCAAAUAUUAUUUGUCGUUUCGACUCCCUUCUUAAGAAAUAAAGUGUGCAACGAAAUCAAAUCCAAAUACGUGUUAAAACCAAAAUUCAAAUAGGUAGAGUGUGUUAUAAAAGUGUUCCCAAUAACAAUAAUGUAUUUAUGAAGAGUAUAUAUCUGUAGGCAGGAUAACUAAACCAUCUGGUGUUCCCCCAGAAAUUCUCUGUAUGCUUUUUUUAAAAUCAACAAGAAUCCCAAAAAAUAAAACCAAUAAAUUUAAAAAGAGACGUAUAUGAAUGUAUACCAGUAUACUCAAAAUAUUUACUGCUGAUUCCAAUAACCUAACACAAAAUCACACUCUGAAACCUCGUAUAAAAAUAUGUGGGUUGUUGAUCAAUCCGGUAUUCCUUCCAACAAUUUUUCUAGAAAUCAAACAUCAACAAGAACCCGAAAGCUCGUUUAAAAAUAGGUAGGAUCUUUAUAAAUUACUCCAAAUAUUAUUUGUCGUAUCGACUCUUUAAAACUCCCUAAAAAGUGUGAAACGAAAUCAAAUCCAAAUACGUGUUAAAACCAAAAUCCAAAUAGGUAGGGUGCGUUAAAAAAAGUAACCAAUUACUAUGGUGUAUUUGUGAAGAGUAUAAGGGGUAGCAACUUAAUAGGCAGGACUUUUCAACCAUCUGGUAUUUGUGUGUGUUGUAUUCUAAAUCAAUACGGUAUUCCCUCCAAAAUUGUUUGUGGUAUUCCAAAAUCAACAAAACCCGAAAACUCGUGUACUAGUAGGUAUGACCUUUAUAAAUUACUCCAAAUAUUAUUUGUCGUAUCGACUCCCUUCUUAAGGUAAAAAGUGUGCAACGAAAUCUCAAAUCCAAAUACGUGUUAAAACCAAAAUUCAAAUAGGUAGGGUGCGUCAUAAAAGUGUUCCCAAUUACAAUGGUGUAUUUAUGAAGAGUAUAAGGGGUAGCAACUUAAUAGGCAGGACUUUUCAGCCAUCCGGAUAUUUUUUGUCGUAUUCUAAAAUUAACAACAAAUUAAAAAUUAGCAUAAAACUAGGUAGGAUUCUUGAUCAAUCCGGAUUUCCCUCCAAAAUUGCUUGUGGUAUUCAAAAGUCGACAGAAACCUGAAAACUCGUGUACUAAUAGGUAGGAUCAUUAUCAGUUUUCAAAAUAUUAUUUGUCGUAUUGACUCUUUUCUUAUGGUAAAUAGGUAUUAAAACAAAAAUCAAAAUAGAUCGAAAUUUAGAUAUCUAAACAUAAAAUCAACAAGAACCCGAAAACUCGUGUAUAUAAUAUUAUUUUUAUCCAUAACUCCAAAUAUGAUUUGUCGUUAGGCAGGACUUUUCAACCAUCCUGUAUUUUUGUGUGGUAUUCCUAAUCCAACAACCUGAAAACUUGUAUAAAAAUAGGUAGGAUCUUGAUCAAUACUGGGUUCCCUCGAACAUAUUUUUGUGGUAUUCAAAAGCUUAUGUAAAAAUAGGUAGGAUCUUGAUGAAUCCGGUUUUCCCUCGAUAAUUUUUUCUGAUAUGUGCGGGGUAUUUGAUUAGGUUUAAUAGGUUAAGUCAGAGGUAUACAGUGUGUAUUGGUGUACCCUUAGAGCGGAUGAGGUGUUUGAAAAGUUUAGUGAAAGGUGGUCUCGUUGUGGUUCGAUUGUUGGAAUGCCAGGUUCCAUGUUGGUGUGGUGCUAAAGGCACCCAGAGUGUAUAAUAAGUGUAUCUGAGGUGUAUUUUGCGGGGCGUAACCGUAUGUGUGAAGUGCGCAGUCAAUGUUGGAUAUAAGUAUGGUUUUUGUGAUAUUUGGUAGUGUGUUUAUAUUGCAUUUAAAUUUGUGUCUGGCCGGGCAUAUUACGAUGAUCGUAAGAGAGAAUAAAGGUGUGAGUUCCAGUUGUAUUUGUUAGUCAUGAUUAGUCCGUGUAUCAUUUAUCAUUUUGAGGUUUUAUUAUUGGUAGGAUCAGGCUGGUUUUAUAUUAUUCGGGUACGUGGUUGUUGAAUAUGUCAUUGAAGUGAGAAAGUAUUCUAUUUUGUACGGCUGGUGAACUAUUUUUUGUGAUUGGGUAUGAAAUUCGGUUGAUUCCUGGUGUUGUGCCUUUUAGAGAAUGGAGAGCAAUGUUUAGUUUGAUUUUGGUUAUGAGCUUGUCAAUUUUUAUAGCUGAUGUGGAUUGAGUGUGAUUGAGGGUUGGUGUAUUGCAUUAAUGAGAGGUGAAUUACUGUUUGAAGUUUCCGUGCUUAGAAAGCUGUGACCAAUGUUGUGUGAGCAGAUUGGCUACCUCUAACUUUAAAAAAUUCGAAAUACUAUAAAACAGACUUUUUUAAAAAGUAAGUUGAAAACAUUUAAAGUAAACUUCUGUAACUUGCGAAUCCAGAAAGAUAUAAAUAUAAUUUUCCCAUAACAAGCUUUACAAAAGACAGCAUUUCACACUAAAAAUCAUUCUAGUAUUUGGAAAAUAUUCGAAUGCAAAUUCGUAUUCAAUACUUUGUAUCUCAAAGUAUAAGCCUAAAAUGUUUCAAACAUUAAAAACAAGCAUAUAAAAACAAAACAAACAUAAAAAACAAGCAUUGACCACAGAAAUAUCUUUAACUAUAAAACAAAACCAAUAAAUUUAAAAAGAGACUUAUAUGUAUGUAUACCAGUACAUAAACCUCAAAAUAUUUACUGCUGAUUUCAAUAACCUAACACAAAAAAACCUAACCUAAGAAAACACAAAAUAACACUCUGAGACCUCGUAUAAAAAUAGAUAGGAUGUUGAUCCAACAACAUUUCUAUAAAUCAAAAAGCAACAAGAACCCGAAAACUCGUUUAAAAAUAGGUAGGAUCUUCAUCAAUUACUCUAAAUAUUAUCUUUCGUAUCGAAUCUCUUCUUAUGCUAUGCAUAAAUAGGUAGGGUGCGUUAUAAAAGUGUUCCCAGUAUAAAUGCUGUAUCUAUAAAAAGUACAAGGGUAGCAACUUUAUAGGCAGGAUAACUCAUCCAUCCGGUAUUCCCUUAUAAAUUCGUUGUAAUGAUGUGUUUUUUUUUGUUGUAGUUUGUAGCGAUGUGUUGAUUAGGUUUUGCGAAGAAGUGCGUCUUAGUGUUAAGGUCAAUUUUGUAGUUAUGAUUUUUGGUUUGAUAUAUUUGUGUACUGGUGUAUCCUUAGAGCAGAUGAGGUGUUUGAAAGGUUUGGUUGUAAGGUGAUUGUAAGUUAGCUGAAAAUUUUCAAAAGUGCGCCUUAGUGUUGAACUCAAUUUUUUAGUUCUGAUUUUUGGGUUGAUAUAUUUGUGUACUGGUGUAUCAUUAGAGCAGAUGAGGUGUUUGAAAAGUUUGGUUGUAAGGUGAUUUCGCCGUGGUUCGAUUGUUGGAAUGCCAAAUUCGUAAAGUAGGUCGCAUGUUGGUGUGGUGCUAAGGCAAACAUGACUGUUUUAAGAGUGUAUAUUAAGUGUAUUUUUCGGGGCGUAAACGUAUGUGUGUAGUGCGCAGUCAAUUUUGAAUAUAAGUAUGGCUUUUGUGAUGUUUAGUAGUGUGUUUGUUUAUGGUACAAAAUGUGCAAUAUAAUAAGAUCUAAUUAGGUAUUAAAUGAAAAAUCUAAAUAGGUAUGGCGCGUUGUAAAAGUGUUCCCAAUAAAAAUGGUGUGUUUAUAAAAAGUAUAAGAGGUAGCAACUUUGUAGGCAGGACCGUGCAAUCGUAAGCGUAUUCUUAUAUCAACAACAAUCUAAAAACCCAUAUAAAAAUAGGUAGAAAACUUGUUACUCCAAAUAUUGUCUGUCGUAUCGACUUUCUUCUUAUGGUAAAAGGUGUGCAAAAUAAUAAAUACCAAAUCGGUAUAAAAACAAGAUCUAAAUAGGUAGGGUGCGUUAUAAAAUUGUCCCCAAUAAAUCAACAACAGCCUGAAAACUCGUAUAAAAAUCGGUACGCAAAUUAAUAAAUUCCGAAAUGGUAUUAAAAAUAAAAUCUAAAUAGGCAGGGUGUGUUAUUAAAGUGUUCUGAUUUUGUUUUGAUAUAUUUGUGUAUUGUUGUAUGCUUAGAGCGAAUAAGGUGUUUGAAAAGUUUGGAUGAAGGUGGUCUCGCCGUGGUUCGAUUGUUGGAAUACCAGAUUCGUAAAGUAGGUUCAUGUAGGUGUGGUGCUAAGGGCACCCAGGACUAUUCUAAGAGUGUAUAUUUAGUGUAUUUUCCGGGGCUUAACCAUACAUAUGUGUGAAGUGCGGAGUCAAUUUUAGAUAUAAGCAUGGCUUUUGUGAUGUUUAAUAGUGAGAUUGUCAGUCAUUUUUUAAUGUGGAGAGUGAUGGUAUGAGAGAGUAAAUGCUUGAGUUCCAGUUGUAUUUUAUUCAUGGUUAGUUCGAGUACUUUGAGUGAUGUUACGUUUUUUUUUUAUGUUAGAGUCCCGUGUAAUAAUUAUGAAGUUGCAUCAGUGUUUGCUAUAUAUGUGUAGAUGGACCUUUUUGAAGCCAAAUAGAUUAGGUUGUAGGAACCACCACAGUCUGUUUGCUCUAAUUUUGUCUAGAGUGUGAGAUGGGUCGGUAUGAUGUGAUGUCCGUUUUAUCUUUUUUAGGUUUUAUUAUUGGUAUGAUCAGACUGGUUUUGUAUGAUUAAGGUACGUGGUUGUUGAAGAUGUGAUUAAAGUGAGAAAGUAUUCUAUUUUGUACGGCUGGUCAACUAUUUUGAAAUUCAUUCCUGGUGUUGUGCCUUUGAGAGAUUGGAGAGCAAUGGUUAGUUCGAUAUUGGUUGUGUCAAUUUAUCUAGCUGAUGUGGAUAGUGUGAGUGAGGGUUGGUGUAUUGCAUUUAUGAGAGGUGAAUUCCUGGCUGAAGUUUACGUGCUUAGAGAACUGUGACCAAUGUUGUGCGAGCAGGUUGGUUAUCUUGAUUUGGGAAGUAAUCAUUUCCAAAAAGGUCAUCUAUUAGGUUCAAGGUUAUGAUUGGUGUGAGUGAGGGAGAACAGUUGCUGAGGUCAAUGUGGGUGAAGGUGUUGUGCGUAGGAAAUUGUUUUGGUGUCUUAUCGUUCAGCAGUGGUGUGUUGUUCAAUGAACUUGGCUACUAUUUUACUUCUUGAGUUCGAGUGUGUGGAUCACCAGUUGUGACGUGUGAACAACACCUCAUAACCGAUCAUUACUUUUUCGGGAAAAUUGGUAGAAUUUAUCGCCGUAGGUCUAUGAGGUCAUGAGUGAAACUUAUUUUUUACUUAUUUUACUCACUUUCUAAUCAAUUUUCUGCAAUUUUGCAUUUAUGUUGCCAAUAAAAAACACUUUAAUAUAACAUAAAUUAUACAAAAAACCAUGUCUUAUCAAAAGUCUUUUUUAAAAAUUAAAAAUAUUGCAACCAAAUAAAAAAAAUUAAAGAUGAAUAAAUAACGAAUUCGUAAAUUCAUUCCGAUUAUCCACAACAAAUUUCUGAAACUAAACUUAAACAAUAAAAAAUACUG